AUUGAACGCUGGCGGCAGGCCUAACACAUGCAAGUCGAGCGGAUGAAGGGAGCUUGCUCCUGGAUUCAGCGGCGGACGGGUGAGUAAUGCCUAGGAAUCUGCCUGGUAGUGGGGGAUAACGUCCGGAAACGGGCGCUAAUACCGCAUACGUCCUGAGGGAGAAAGUGGGGGAUCUUCGGACCUCACGCUAUCAGAUGAGCCUAGGUCGGAUUAGCUAGUUGGUGGGGUAAAGGCCUACCAAGGCGACGAUCCGUAACUGGUUUGAGGGGAUGAUCAGUCACACUGGAACUGAGACACGGUCCAGACUCCUACGGGAGGCAGCAGUGGGGAAUAUUGGACCAUUGGCGAAAGCCUGAUCCAGCCAUGCCGCGUGUGUGACGAAGGUCUUCGGAUUGUAAAGCCCUUUAAGUUGGGAGGAAGGGCAGUAAGUUAAUACCUUGCUGUUUUGACGUUACCAUCAGAAUAAGCACCGGCUAACUUCGCG
rnacentral:rRNA from 1 species